AUGUUUAAAUCAGACAAUAUAAAUCUGGAGCUACCAUGUAGAGAGAUCCUGGAUAGUAGUGAAGUAGAAGCAUAAGAAAAAGAUGUACAGUGGCCAAAUUCUGAUGACAUUUGCUUGAAUUACUUGGUCUAUUUAGCUAGGGCUAUUCCAGGCUCUCCAAGUAGAUGAGCUGAUAUGUUAAGUUUUCAUAUACUUGUCAUUAUAAAAAUAACUAUCACUACCUGACAGAGCAGCUGGUGUACUGGAGAUGCUCAGAAAACAUUCACUGAAAAAAUUACGUGGAGUCCUUACAAACUGAUGUUUGUCUAUGUGCCAAAGUCUUAAAACCCAAAUCAAAAAGACAAUCAGGUCUCACACUCUUCCCUUGCAUUUUAAGACAGUCCUGAAGACAGAACUUUAUCUUCUCGUCCAGCACAUGAGCCAUUCAGAGGGAAGAUGCUUUGUGGGUGAAUAAUGUAGGAGAGCCAAGUCUGAUGUUUUCAUGGUGUUGAAAACAUAGGACGAGUCUGCCGAUUUUUUCAGUCUGUCUGCUAAACCGCUCCUAAGCAUCAUUUGACAGAUUCUGUGGGGCUGGGGGGUGAGGAGGGUAUGUUUGGAAUACUGUGUCCUACUUUGCAUGAAAAAUGAGAACAGAGUUUUCCUUUCUUGUGCCCUUCAUUUUUGCUUUUCUAAAUUCAUCUGGCCCUGAAUACCCUCCCGCAACAAUGGAAGACACUUUUUGGAGUUUCUGAAAUGCUCACCAUUAUUUCUUUAGUUUUCAUCUGACUCAGAGCAAUGGACUCAUAGAAGCCAUGCUAGGGAAUUUCACAGCCAACUGGACCUGGAGUGAGAGCUGAAGUCAGUUAGGUCAAUGUUUCCCAGGAAUUUGGAAUUAGAGCAGAGAGCUAGAGAAUGGAAUGUAUUCAGUCACCCCACUUGUCCAGAACUUCAACAUGUGUCCCUGGGAGCUGUGUGUGGGCAUCUUUCUCCCACCAUGUGGAAUGAGGAGCAGAGAUGAGUCAUCAAAAAAAAAAAAAAAAAAAAAGGCAACAGAUGUGCAGAUACAAGCAGAGUUGGAGACAGUGUAUGCUCCGCUUUCUGCCUUCCCUCAAAGUUCACUCUUCUGGUCUUUUCCGAGCCCUCGCUGCAUUCCUACUCAUCAUUCCAUUGUAAUAUCAUUGCAUCUGUAUGGCAGAGCCUUAUUUUUGAUGAAGCUAACCCAAUGUGAUUUUUGUUCCAAGCAAGCAAACAAACAAAAACAAACCUUACUCAUGAGCCAAAAAAAUUAAGGUGGGGAAUUACCUAGGUGAGAAGAAAUAUCCCAGUUGAGAGAAACAAAACAAAAAUCACCGAAAAGAAUCAGGGACAAUCAUUCUAAAAAUCGUGAACAAGAUGUUUCUCCACACUUGGAGACAUGGAGAACAGACUUGUGGUUGCCAAGGAGGAUGGGGGAGGAAGUGGGAUGGACUGGGAGUUGGUGGUUAAUAGAUGCAAACUAUUACAUUUAAAAUGGGUUUAUAACAAUGUUCUACUGUACAGCACAAGGAACUAUAUCCAAUCUCCUGGGAUAGACUAUGAUGGAAAACAAUAUUAAAAAAAGAAAAGUAUGUGUCUGUGUAUAUUCCUAUAUAUAUGAAUGACUGGGUCACUUUGCUGUACAGCAGAAAUUGGCACAACAUUGUAAAUCAACUAUAAUUUAAAUCUUUCUAAUCUGUGCAGAGCUAAAAUAGAACGGCUCUGCUCCAUGGAUUCACAGAGUAGCUGAAAGGGAAUUCCUUUCUGAGUGUUCAGCCUAUAGCUGAGCCCUGAAAUGUGUUCCCUGUUAAAAAUUCCUCUCCAAGUCCUCUCCCAUGACUUCAUGAAGUUGUCUGCGCACACGAGUGACUCUCCAGCUCAGACAUGUCAUGUUUGCAUCACUGCUGAUGUGGAGACAAGUGCUUAGAUGGUCCAUUAAGGAAAUGUCCCUUAGAAGUCUGGAGCACAUUUGGUACUUUGACAGCCCUGCCCUGCCUCUAUAUGGUUGGAAAUCCUAAGCUUGGCUUAUUAAGGAGAAACAGGCACGAUCAUUAUGUCAAACAUAUUAAUAUGUUUUAUUCUGCCAUGGCAUUUGCUUACUGGCAUCUGAUG
rnacentral:lncRNA from 1 species